GACAGCUGGCCUCUGCUAAACUAUUUGCAGAGGAGAAGGUUGCUGAAGAAAUUUCUUUGAGGAAAGGUAUUUCACUUGGCGCA